rnacentral:tRNA from 1 species
UCCUAAGUAGCUCAGUGGUAGAGAGGUCAGUUGUUAACUAAUUGGUCAUAGGUUCAAAUCCUACUUGGGGAG